GUCUCCUCUAGUUGUGGAGGGAGAUGGGUCUGGCUACUGGGAAGUGUAUCAGUGUCCAUGAGGUGCCUGACCUGGGGGGUCCCUGGGCCUGAUUUGCAGAUGUGCUGAGUGCUCCCAACUGCAGCCAAAGUCAAUCGGAGCUGGGCAUUGAACAUAUAACGUGCUAUACAGUGCUGUGCCCUCUGAAAAAUCAGGUCCUAGGUCUUUCAAAUUGGGCACCCAGAAUUAGCUGAGCAUUUCCCAUCGCAUUUCUUCUUUCACAGCUGAUUUUAAAGUGGGGACUAAUUGAUCGGCUUUGAGCCAAUGGUUCUGAUGGAGAAUAUUGAUUGGCAACGCAAACCUGACCUCCCAAAUUUGUCCACACACACUGCUACAGGAAAAUCUGCUAACCUUCGUGGGCCAGGAGUCAGUGCAGGAUUCUGAAUCCUCUGUGCACCUUCUUGCCCCCCACUCACCCAUAGACAGGUUCUGCCCCAGAUGUCCCUUGCCCAUUGCAUGUUCACUGGCUGGCAUAGACCUGUCAUGAGGAAUGGAGACAAGGUGAAGAGAGGGGACAGUUUCAACAGAUGAUCAAAAGGGGCAAUUCUGGUGAUUAAAGAUGGUUGUGCUCCUCGUUUUCCACAAUCACACAUCCCCAGCACACACAAAUACUGUAUAUUGCAUCAGAGUAAUACCUUCCUUUGUCCCUCUGUGGAAAUCUUGGCUGCAAAAUCUGCUUCAGACUACACGUGAAAUGAGUUCUGUCAGCUCAGUUUAAUCACUAAUGACUACUUCUCCACAUGGCUAUGCCACAGCAUAGCUACUACUCUUGGCAUAAAUGGCAGUCUGAGCAGAGGCCCAGGGGCUAGCAUAACGGGGUGGGAUGGGGCUGCGGAUCAGGAUGGGGGUGAACUGGUAGAACUGAUGGAUCCAGGACUAGAAUAGCAGAGAGUGCCACUGUGGCUUAAGAGUGAGCUGCAUUGGUGAAGCUGUGGGAAGCUGUAGGACUGGAAACACAGGGGGGAUCUGCACAUCUGGAUUGUGGCAAAGUUGUGGAAAGACAGUGGAGUGAAGAGCAGGGCUGGAAUAGCAGGGAUCACUACAGGUCAGGGCUGAGGUGUGUCAGAUAAGGACUGACGUGAAUUGCUUAACCUUUCAGGGCAGGGCUGGAACAGCAAAGGGUUCUGUGGG